rnacentral:tRNA from 1 species
CCCUACGUAGCUCAAUUGGUGGAGCACUGGUUUUGUAAACCAAAGGUUGUCGGUUCGAGUCCGACCUAGGGA